UACAUAGGGGGCAAGCGUUAUUCGGAAUUACUGGGCGUAAAGGGCUCGUAGGCGGCCAACUAAGUCAUACGUGAAAUCCCUCAGCUUAACUGGGGAACUGCGUGUGAUACUGGAUGGCUUGGAUUUGGGAGAGGGAUGCGGAAUUCCAGGUGUAGCGGUGAAAUGCGUAGAUAUCUGGAGGAACACCGGUGGCGAAGGCGGCAUCCUGGGCCAUUACUGACGCUGAGGAGCGAAAGCGUGGGGAGCGAACAGG
rnacentral:rRNA from 1 species